UUAAAAGAGCCUUGUUAAUUCGCUUCAAAC
rnacentral:piRNA from 1 species